UGGAUUAACAACUUCAUUUUAAAAAUCCUGCUGCUAUUCAAAUUAGCCACACCGUGGGAUGUAAGGAGCUCUCUGAUUGGUUGGUCAGACACAGGCUGUCUGCCAGCCUGGAUUUUUCUAGCUCAUAGCUUCGCCCUGCUACGCGUGUGUGCCUGUACAAAGGCCGUUCAGCCUCGGGAUUUACACUCGGCUCGACACGGAUAUGUGAAGAAUGAAGGGAGCCUGCAGCGAAACGGAGAGCCAACCUCUGACUGAGUGCCCGUUUACUCAGUCUGACCACCUGUUGAAGGGCUGUUUGAUGACGAUUUGGACUCCUCUGGGAGAUGAGGACACACCCACAUCUGUUCCAUACUGCAGCCAUGGAUGGUGUUACAGCUCUGAGUCAGCUUUGGGCCAUCAGACGCACACACUGGAAAACCAGCGCCUGUACUUCAUGCAGGAGAGACGGCCUCAGUGAUGAUUGACUCUGCAUCCUCUACUUUACCUCCUAAUCUCUUUCUCUUUAACACACAAUUAAAAUCACUCCAAAAGAGUGUAAACUUACUGAGGAAGUCUCUAACUUGUACACAUUUGUACUUUUACUUGUUUUAUGAGUUAUUUUUAAGAAGAGUAAAGUUAUUCACAAAGUUUUUAUUCUUCUGUAUUUAUUCUUUUGUAUCAUGUACCACAGUCAUACUGAACUUUACAGACCUGGUGAAUUGGGGGGGAAAAAAAGUCAUAUAUAUAUAUACAUGAAUGAAUCAUUCAGCUUCAGCAGUAUUUCUAUUCAUCUUAUGAAUUCCAGUCUAAUGUCAAUUCACUGUUUGAGUUCAGUUUUGGUCUUAAACUCCAGAGAAUACCACCUAGUUCAACAAUCUUUUUAUCUGAUUAUUUGCAAAACGGUUUUCUUCUGAGAGAUGCUGCUAGAGCUGAAAUUGAGCCCAAAGAAACAACAACAAAGUUUAGUUCCUCUGGAUUUUCCAUGGAAAAUUGUUUUAUCACUCAUCCAGGUGACUUCUCCAGUGUCACGGAUGAGUGAUGAAUGUAUCUCC
ensembl:lncRNA